GGCUCAGAUUGAACGCUGGCGGCAUGCCUUACACAUGCAAGUCGAACGGCAGCGGACCUUCGGGUGCCGGCGAGUGGCGAACGGGUGAGUAAUAUAUCGGAACGUACCUUCAGGUGGGGGAUAACGUAGCGAAAGUUACGCUAAUACCGCAUAUUCUGUGAGCAGGAAAGCAGGGGAUCGCAAGACCUUGCGCUGAUUGAGCGGCCGAUAUCAGAUUAGCUAGUUGGUGAGGUAAAGGCUCACCAAGGCGACGAUCUGUAGCGGGUCUGAGAGGAUGAUCCGCCACACUGGAACUGAGACACGGUCCAGACUCCUACGGGAGGCAGCAGUGGGGAAUUUUGGACAAUGGGCGCAAGCCUGAUCCAGCCAUGCCGCGUGAGUGAAGAAGGCCUUCGGGUUGUAAAGCUCUUUCGGCCGGGAAGAAAUCGCACAGGUUAAUACCCUGUGUGGAUGACGGUACCGGAAUAAGAAGCACCGGCUAACUACGUG
rnacentral:rRNA from 1 species